rnacentral:rRNA from 1 species
CCCUUAGACGUUCUGGGCCGCACGCGCGCUACACUGACGAAGGCAACGAGCUUUCCUUUACCGAAAGGUACGGGUAAUCUUUUGAAACUUCGUCGUGCUGGGGAUAGAUCCUUGCAAUUUUUGAUCUUAAACGAGGAAUGCCUAGUAAGCGCAAGUCAUCAACUUGCGUUGAUUACGUCCCUGCCCUUUGUACACACCGCCCGUCGCUACUACCGAUUGAAUGGUUUAGUGAGGCCUUCGGAUCCGCGACUCGUUUUGUGGAGAAGUUGGACAAACUCAGUCAUUUAGAGGAAGUAAAGGUCGUAACA